rnacentral:rRNA from 1 species
UACGGAGGAUUCAAGCGUUAUCCGGAUUUAUUGGGUUUAAAGGGUGCGUAGGCGGAUUGAUAAGUUAGAGGUGAAAUGUCCGAGCUCAACUCGGGAACUGCCUCUAAUACUGUUGAUCUAGAGAGUAGAUGCGGUAGGCGGAAUGCGCGGUGUAGCGGUGAAAUGCAUAGAUAUCGCGCAGAACUCCGAUUGCGAAGGCAGCAUGCCGGCCCCACACUGACGCUCAGGCACGAAAGCGUGGGUAUCGAACAGG